GUGGGGGCUACGGAAACAGGCUACGGAACAGGCUAUGGUGGGGGCUACACUGGGGGCUACGGAACAGGCUAUGGUGGGGGCUACACUGGGGGCUACGGAGGAGGCUAUGGUAGUUAUGGUGGGGGCUUCAGCAGAGGCCUCGGAGGGUAUGGUGGCAGCUAUGGUGGGGGAUUCAGUGGCUAUAGAGGAUAUGGCUACCGCAAGUAAAUGGCUCCUCUCCAUUCCUUGACCUCGGAUAUGCGAAGGAAUCUUGGAACUCUUAAUUUGUGCCAAUUAAUGUUUGUUCAGACAGAUGUAAUAAAAUUGUAUCAUUGAUUCC